CACGACUUCUGGCUUGAGCCUGAACUUAGAAUGCAGCCUCUGGGUCGCUCCUCCAUCCUCCCAGCAGAUGGCAGUGUGCAUAUGGGAACCAAGAGCAGGUCUCAGGCCAGCUGAGGCAAAGCCUCUGGGACUACAGCUGAGGAAGAAGAACGCUUUCUACCUGCACUGCCAAGAUGGAAAACAGAAGGCUAAUUAUGGGUUUUAUUUAUAGGAAAUCAUAAUGAAGUGAGAAUUGUCUCUAUUCUUAAUAAGAGAUAAUGUGCCCAUUAAUCACAAAUAUAUAUAUACCAGAAACAGGAAGAAGCAUGAACAUGUCAUCUCUGAGUGCAGUCCUCAGUCCUAGAGUGGGACAGCUAAUCGCUUGCCAAGAGCCCGCCCACUACCUCUCUGCAAUUAGUCGUGAAGUUGAAGGAGCUCCAAACUCCGCAGGCGCACUCAGGGCCUCCUGCUCCUAUGGCUUGUUUUCAGGUUAGCAGAAACUUUCUUUCCUCUGGUGGUAGGGCCUGGUUGCCCUGGCACAGAGACAGUUGGGUAAAGGGAGUGAGGGAGUGGGCAGCAGAUAGACAACUAAAGGUAAAGCGGGG
rnacentral:lncRNA from 1 species